UAUGUCCUGCAAGCUUAGGGGUGCUACAAGUUGACCACUGCAGCAGUAAAGAUGACUCUGAAGAACGGCGUGGGAUGGUUCCUUUCAAAUGCACUUGAGCAGCGGUCUCCAACCACAGGGCCACAGAGCUGGAGGUGAGCAGCAGCUGGAUCUACCAUGAAAGACUUGUGAAUCCAGGAAGAGAGACUGACUGGGCAACAUGUUAUUCAGGUGGGAACAUCCAGUUGCAGGAAAACAAGCUUAACACGCCCACUGAUUCUACAUUAUGCUCCUACCUCCCGGCAGCCUCUCCAGGCCCAGAACUUUCUCCAGUCAGCCUCUACAGACCAAGCUCAUGACUCUCAAUGGCCUAUUUAGGCCCAUACCCUACGUCACGGCAGCCUCCGCAGAUGAGGCUACUGCCUCACAACAGCCUCCACAGGCACAGCUCCAUCGUUACAAUGGCCUCUUUAGACCCAGCUCCUGCCUCCCAGCCUUCUCUCCAGGCCCUGAACUUUCUCAGGUCUCCCUCUGUUGUCCAAGGCUGGAGUGUAGUAGUGCUAUCGCAGCUGACUG
rnacentral:lncRNA from 10 species